rnacentral:rRNA from 1 species
GAUGAACGCUGGCGGCGUGCCUAAUACAUGCAAGUCGAGCGAACGGACGAUAAGCUUGCUUCUCUGAUGUUAGCGGCGGACGUGUGAGUAACACGUGGAUAACCUACCUAUAAGACUGGGAUAACUUCGGGAAACCGUAGCUAAUACCGGAUAAUAUUUUGAGCCGCAUUGUUCAAAAGUGAAAGACGGUCUUGCUGUCACUUAUAGAUGGAUCCGCGCUGCAUUAGCUAGUUGUUAAGGUAACGGCUUACCAAGGCAACGAUGCAUAGCCGACCUGAGAGGGUGGUCGGCCACACUGGAACUGAGACACGGUCCAGACUCCUACGGGAGGCAGCAGUAGGGAAUCUUACGCAAUGGGCGAAAGCCUGACGGAGCAACGCCGCGUGAGUGAUGAAGAUCUUCGGUUCGUAAAACUCUGUUAUUAGGGAAGAACAUAUGUGUAAGUAACUGAGCACAUAUUGACGGUACCUAAUCAGAAAGCCACGGCUAACUACGUG